rnacentral:rRNA from 1 species
CGCGUAGGCGGCCUUCUAAGUCGGACGUGAAAUCCCUCGGCUUAACCGAGGAACUGCGUCCGAUACUGAAAGGCUUGAAUCCGGGAGAGGGAUGUGGAAUUCCAGGUGUAGCGGUGAAAUGCGUAGAUAUCUGGAGGAACACCGGUGGCGAAGGCGGCAUCCUGGACCGGCAUUGACGCUGAGGCGCGAAAGCUAGGGAGCAAACG